AGAAGCCUGAAGAUUAAAACUUCACUAUAUCAGUAUGUCUGUUCCUUCAAAAACCACAUUUGGAGGAAACUGACAGAGUUCCCUACAUGUCUACGAUUCAUAAAGUCUUAAAAGAUACAAUGCAAAAUGUGAAAGUUUCAAAAAUAACAUCUAACUUGGCCUUCAAAUUAACCUCAGGAGAUGCUGAGUUUCUACCACUACAUUGAAGAUGUCUCUCAAUUUUUCUCUGUCUUCCCUUCUUCCUGUCAUUUGAAACUAAUCAAUCGUCCCAGGCAGCUUGAAAAGAGAGCACGGUUUUCUGUGACAACUGAGCGAGUCAGCAUCUGGUAGUGAAGUCAGGAGUGGAGGAGAACCAGGCAGAGCUACGGAUCAGCACCAGUAUCUUGGGAGAAAAAGGGUGAGAACCCUGUGAGCGGUUCAGAGGCUCCACCUUGGCA